rnacentral:rRNA from 1 species
AGCGAACGCUGGCGGCAGGCCUAACACAUGCAAGUCGAACGAACCUUUCGGGGUUAGUGGCGGACGGGGGAGUAACACGUGGGAACGUGCCUUUAGGUUCUGAAUAACUCAGGGAAACAUGUGCUAAUACCGCAUGUGCCCUUCGGGGGAAAGAUUUAUCGCCUGUAGAGCGGGCCGCGUCUGUUUAGCUAGUUGGUUGAGGUAAUGGCUCACCAAGGCGACGAUCAGUAGCUGGUCUGAGAGGAUGAUCAGCCACAUUGGGACUGAGACACGGCCCAAACUCCUACGGGAGGCAGCAGUGGGGAAUAUUGCGCAAUGGGCGAAAGCCUGACGCAGCCAUGCCGCGUGAAUGAUGAAGGUCUUAGGAUUGUAAAAUUCUUUCACCGGGGACGAUAAUGACGGUACCCGGAGAAGAAGCCCCGGCUAACUUCGUG